rnacentral:rRNA from 1 species
AUUGAACGCUGGCGGCGUGCUUAACACAUGCAAGUCGAACGGUGAAAGCGGAGCUUGCUCCGCUGGAUCAGUGGCGAACGGGUGAGUAACACGUGGGCAACCUGCCCCUCACUUCGGGAUAACUCCGGGAAACCGGGGCUAAUACCGGAUAUGACCUCCUUGGGCAUCCUUGGAGGUGGAAAGUUUUUCGGUGAGGGAUGGGCCCGCGGCCUAUCAGCUUGUUGGUGAGGUAGUGGCUCACCAAGGCGACGACGGGUAGCCGGCCUGAGAGGGCGACCGGCCACACUGGAGUUGGGACACGGCCCAGACGCCUACGGGAGGCAGCAGUGGGGAAUAUUGCGCAAUGGGCGAAAGCCUGACGCAGCAACGCCGCGUGCGGGAUGACGGCCUUCGGGUUGUAAACCGCUUUCAGCAGGGAAGAAGCCGCAAGGUGACGGUACCUGCAGAAGAAGCACCGGCUAACUACGUGCCAGCAGCCGCGGUAAUAC